GGAUCUUGAACUCCGUAUCUCCUCUGGGAUUUGCUUGGCUUCUGUUACUCAGAACUGAGCUUGGCAAAGCCAGGAUAUGAACUGUGCAGAUUUCCGUAAUCCCCGCCCGGGAGAUGGCCGGCAAUGGGAGAAGUUCCAUGUGCAGAAACAAAGAGAAGAGCAAGGAAGUCGAGGUAAGAGGAGGUUUGAUUUGAUAAACUAGAACAGCCAAGCCGACUGCAGCCAGCACUGCUCUGUGUGCCCUGGAGUGGCUGGGGCUCCAGAGCAGCUGGGCAACCCCUCCCAGUGUGUGAUGGUCCCCUGGAAGAGAAGGGCUGGUGACUACUAGGAACACAGGAAGUGUAACCUCUGCUUCCUGAAUGGAGGAACCAAAUCCAUGAGGACACUUGCUGCUUGAAAGAGACACACUUCUACCUCUGUCCUGGCAUCCAAUGGAGUCACUUUACCCUCAGGUGGCUCUGACACUGCUGUCAUCCAUUUUCAGACAUCAACAGCAGCUGUUGAUGGCUGCUAAUUUUGCUCACUGUCCAUUAAGCUAGAAUGUUUGAAAAUAACUUUCUUAACAGAGUGAUAGGGAAGCAAAAGCUGUGACAUAUGUAUUACUGACAAUAUAGCGUGAAUUAGGACAACAUUCCACUGCCUCGUACAAUCUACUGCUUCCAUAGCCAUUCUCAGGGAUGUAUUUGGAUUACUUUUGCUUGUUGUCUCUUUUGUUUAUUUUUUUUUUUUUUCUUCAUUAAAAAAUAUUUGAAACUUACAUGGGCUAGAAAAAUAUAAUAUUCAACUUAUUACAUUUAGGCUUUAUUUUGCUGUGAAAUCGAGCAAGAUCUGUUCUAAGUGAAACUGCUUGAAAGAUGUCAGGAACUUAUUUCAAAGCUUUUUAAGGAGAUUGAGCAAGCUGAAGGAUAUUGGGUGAAAAUAUUAUAAACGCUGUUGCAUUCCUUUAAACGGAUCUUGAGAUGGAAUGUCAGAAUUUGUAAUCCUCUUACUCCCUCAAUAUAGCUGUUGUCUCAGGACUCGUUAACUUCGUGGAAAAUGAGAUCUUCCAACCUCCAGCUCUGUAUGUUCAUCUUUUU
rnacentral:lncRNA from 1 species